CGUGUAGGCGGCUUGCCAAGUCCGGUGUGAAAUCUCGGGGCUCAACCCCGAAACUGCAUUGGAAACUGGCUUGCUAGAGUCCGGAAGAGGAGAGUGGAAUUCCUGGUGUAGCGGUGAAAUGCGCAGAUAUCAGGAAGAACACCGGUGGCGAAGGCGGCUCUCUGGGACGGUACUGACGCUGAGACGCGAAAGCGUGGGUAGCGAACA
rnacentral:rRNA from 1 species